rnacentral:rRNA from 1 species
GACGAACGCUGGCGGCGUGCUUAACACAUGCAAGUCGAACGAAGAGCGAUGGAAGCUUGCUUCUAUCAAUCUUAGUGGCGCACGGGUGAGUAACGCGUAAUCAACCUGCCCUUCAGAGGGGGACAACAGUUGGAAACGACUGCUAAUACCGCAUACGAUCUGACCUCGGCAUCGAGGAUAGAUGAAAGGUGGCCUCUACAUGUAAGCUAUCACUGAAGGAGGGGAUUGCGUCUGAUUAGCUAGUUGGAGGGGUAACGGCCCACCAAGGCGAUGAUCAGUAGCCGGUCUGAGAGGAUGAACGGCCACAUUGGGACUGAGACACGGCCCAGACUCCUACGGGAGGCAGCAGUGGGGAAUCUUCCGCAAUGGACGAAAGUCUGACGGAGCAACGCCGCGUGAGUGAUGACGGCCUUCGGGUUGUAAAGCUCUGUUAAUCGGGACGAAAGGCCUUUUUGCGAAUAGUGAGAAGGAUUGACGGUACCGGAAUAGAAAGCCACGGCUAACUACGUG